UAAACUCUAGGAGAAGAAGAAAGAAAAGGAGAGGAAGAGAGAAAAAGCUUGGUUUUGGUGAUUCAAGUAAGAAACGGUAAGAAUUCUUGCUUUUGGCUUGAGUAGUCUUUGAAAUUGAGUUAGUGACUUAGAGAAAAGUCUUGUGGCAGCAAAGAUUGGCUUGAUUGGAGAAAAAAUUGAUAACAUGUAAGCAAAUAAACCCAUGGGUACAUGAAGGACUCAAAGUGGAAAAGGAAAACGGAAGUGCAAAGAUAAGGUUAGAGUAUCGUGGUGGCUUGUCGGAAUAAAUAACGAGCGAUUGGCCAGUGAAAAUAGUUAGAGACACCUCCGAACAAAUAGCAACUUAAUAUCUCGUUGUUGCCAGGUUUCUUGAGUUAAAAGUGAUUGGAUCCUAGGACGAGAUGCUCCUCCCUAUACAUUGCUCGGUAGGUUUAAUGUGACAUUAAGUGUUAUCAAUCGUGCCCAGAGUCACUCCGCUGACGGUCAAGGUCAAUUAUGUGUAUAUGAAUAUUUAAUGUGAAACAUUAAGA